CCCUCUUGAUGGCGGGAGCCA
rnacentral:siRNA from 1 species